UUCCUGUUGCCUAGAGAAGGGAGGGAUUAAGUGACUUGGCCAAGGUUACAUGUAGCCAUUAUUGCAUCAAACACAGAGCUUGAACCCAGGUCCUUUUGCCUCUAAGGCCAGCUCUCUAGUCACUCUGCCCCUCACUGCCUCUAUACAUCCAGAAGAAUCCUCUCAGUGGCAGUUCUUGUCCUUGUUUGAGGAAAGCUACCAGGGAGCUGGUUUAGUCAGACCAUGACAAAGCAUGUCCUGAAGUGACAGCUGAAUGUCUGAGGGCACACCAGAGUGUCUGAAGGCACCAUGGCUGCCACGGGCCCAGUUUUAUCCUUUGUGGAAACACGUCUCCAGAAAAGCAUCGUCCAGAGCCUCAGAGUUCCAGGGCUGGUGUUGGGUGUUUCGUGGGACAGAGAGCUUAGACAUGGAGUGAAGUGCACAUCUCAAGCCAAGCUUCCUCUUUUGCCCACGCGAGUGCUGAUGUCACUUCUUGCAUGGAGGUUACAAUGGAGCAGAUAAUAUUCCUUCCCGGUGCCAUCCGUGAACCUCAUCAUUGUCCUUGGUCUGCCCACACCUGUAAUUCCUCAGAGAGGAGUCUGUUCUGAGAUCCACAACUGGACGGCCCUGCCCAAGAGUAGCCAUCGCAGCAGAAUCUCCCUGUUUUAUGCCACCCUUGAUGCUAAUAAUAUAGGAUCAGUGAACAGUUAUCAAGAAAUGGCAUAUCGUGCUCCCAUGCAUGAGAGCAUCCAUGUUAGAAGAGGAGGACUGAGAUCAUAUUUUAUUCUGUUGAGCCUUUUUAUGGGAAUCAAACAACAACGAUUGGCAGAAUAUAGCAUUCUCUGUCCCUUUCACCCUGUUGUGUGACUAGAAAGAUAGGAUUAUCUAUAGAAUAUCCUUUCAAAACCUUUGCCAUUUCCCUCUCUUAAGUUCUUUGAGGGUAUCCACAAUAUACACUUAGCAUGUUGUCAUAAAGAUUUGAUAAAGGUGAGAAAAUAGACACACGGGUGGGUAGAUAUUAUAUGCUCCUCAUUUCAUUUCUUGGAUAAAGGCCAAGGAUUCCCCAGAGUGAUGCUAUGUGGUGUAACAGAUAGAAUACUCAACUUGGAGUCAGAGAGAACUGAAUUUGAAUCUCAUGUCAUAUAUGAAGUUUGAC
rnacentral:lncRNA from 1 species